GUGUGAAACUGAAUCGAUUUAGCAGCGAAGUGGGGGAGAUUCGUCAGAAAAAUUCUUCAUCAACUUCUAUUUCUUGAGAGUUUUACUUCCUUUUAGAUUUUAAGUAGACGCAUAUCCUCUUAUGUCUUGAGACGUUCUGUUUCCUAACAAAGAAAGACCAUUCUACCAUGAAUAAGUCUAAUUUUUCAAAAAAUGAAAAAAGAUGAAGAGGAAAAAGAAAGAUAUACUUCUUCAGAAAAUUUUCACCGAAUCUAAAUAGCAACCCUGCAUAAGAACAAUACCCAUCAUUAUGACUCAUAAGACAAGAAAGUUAGAGAAACUAAAAGAGGAAGAAGAACCCAUGAAUGAGCAUUCACAACAAAAAGACGAAGAUGCUUAAUUUUCG
rnacentral:lncRNA from 1 species